AUUUAAGUAGUUUAUAUUAUAAAAUAUGGGGUUGUGAUUUCCAAGAAGCUACAAGCUUUAAAUU
rnacentral:tRNA from 1 species